rnacentral:rRNA from 1 species
GACGAACGCUGGCGGCGUGCUUAACACAUGCAAGUCGAACGGAAAGGCCCUGCUUUUGUGGGGUGCUCGAGUGGCGAACGGGUGAGUAACACGUGAGUAACCUGCCCUUGACUUUGGGAUAACUUCAGGAAACUGGGGCUAAUACCGGAUAGGAGCUCCUGCUGCAUGGUGGGGGUUGGAAAGUUUCGGCGGUUGGGGAUGGACUCGCGGCUUAUCAGCUUGUUGGUGGGGUAGUGGCUUACCAAGGCUUUGACGGGUAGCCGGCCUGAGAGGGUGACCGGCCAAGUUGGACAUGGGACGGGGCCCAAACCCCGACGGGGGAAAGGGGGGGGAACGAUGCGGAAAAGGGGGGAGGCCGGAAGAAGGAACUCCGGUUGGGGAAAGACGGCCUUCGGGUUGAAACCCGUUUGCCCGUGAAAGGAAGCGUGGGGGCGGGAAAUGAGAAAAGAGGCACGGGCAAAUACGGG